GUGGGCAUCUUACUAGACAGUGCUGGAUUUUUUUGAUCUACUCUAACACUGUCUGGUAACGAUGUUUAA
rnacentral:pre_miRNA from 1 species